ACGGUCGCCGCUUUGUGAGGUGGCUUAGCCUCCCCGGGACGCCGGGGCGAAGGACCCUACGUCGGGAGGCGGUGCUUGGCGCUAUGGCACGCCCCCAGGGGCGCUAAGCUCCGCCCCGAGGCCGCGUUGCGUGAGAAGCGGCGCUUUGUGCCACCGCGCAGCAGCUCCGGAGAGAUGGGCAGGGCAUGCGUCAGGAGGCGGUGCUUGGCCGCUCGGGCACGCCCCCGGAAGGACCGGGAGGCCCCGCCCCCCCCGGGCCGGCGUUUUGUGAACCGCGGCGCUUUGGACCCCCGUCAGCGUCAGGAGGGGGCGUUCGGCCGCUCGGCCCCGCCCCCGGGGGCCACGCCCCGCCCCCAGGCCGGCCACAUGCGAACGACCAUGCUUUGUGCCACAGUGGAGUAGCUCGAGAAGGGUGGAGGAGCUUGAGCCCGGGACCGGUGGCCGACGAAGAAGGGACGCCCCCUCGAGGGCUGGGCUCCGCCUCUAUGCCGGCGCCCAGCGAGCCACACGCUCCGGGUCCUCCCACCAGAGAACACCUUCGGGGAUGAAGGUCUGCCCAGCAUCUGCCCAGCCUCAGAGACACCCUGGAGGGACUCACCUUUGCUUCUGUAAGUUUUUUAUUUUAGCUGGAAGAAAGAUGAACAAGUAUUGGUUAGAUUAUUCUGGAUCUGGUAGCAGCUGAGAAAUGCCUACACCCAUAAAACCAAAAGCUCCCUUGACCCCUGUGGAACCCAGCUUUGCCUCAUCCACAUAGAUCUGCUACUAAGUACAAAAGCUGCUAUAAACAGGCCUUUCUCAGUUUUGUUUUUUUGCGGUAGUUUUGUUUUCUAGGCAAGGUUUCCCAUGUAGCCCUGGUUGUUCUGGAACUCACUAUGUAGAUUAGACUGUAGGUACAGAUCUGCCUGCUGAGUGCAGGGAUUAAAAGGUGGUACCAACAUGCCCACCUUCACUUAGUUUUCUAAAACAGUCCCGUAUAGCUCAGGCUAACCUGAACUCACCAUGUAGCCAAGGCUGGCUUUGAACUCCUGGUCCUCCUACUUCUACCAGCUAAAUGCUAGAAUUAUGGGUGUGUGGCAUCACCCUUGAUCUGUUUCCUUGAGACGGGGUCUAGCCAGGGUUGGUCUCUAAACCACAAUCCUCCUCCACAGCCUUUGAGUUCUGGAAUUACAGGUGUGUACUACCACGUCACCCCAUACAUUUUAGGUGGGUUUUUCUUCUUAACCUUUAUUUACUCUGUGUGUGCAUGUUCUUGUAUGGGUGUGGGUACACACCAGAGGGCAUGUGCAGAGGGUAGAGGAGAUCCUGUGGAGGCAGCUGCCCUGCCACCAGCCCCAGGGAUGGAACUUGUGUAGGUAUGCUUGGCAAGCAUCUUUGUCUGCUUAGCGAUCUUACUGCCCUUAUUUAUUUUUGUACUUGACUUACGAGAAAUGUAUGUUCAUUUAAAAAACAAGAACUCCAAGUUACCAGUGUGGUGGCUCACUGCUGUAAUCCCUGCAAACUGAAAGCAGAGGCAGGAGGAUUACCUACAUUUCAAGGCCAACCUGAUCUAUAUGGGAGAUGGCAGGUCUUCAGACCAGCCUGGGCUCUGAAGUGAAAUCCAAACAAACAAAAUCUUCAAAAUUGUGUAAACAUGUAAAAUUGUUUUUCUUAAAAACUAUGAAUUUCAGGCUGGGUUUUAGGUAGUUGCACAGGCCUUUAAUCCCAGCACACCAGAGGCAGAUAGAUCUCUGUGAGUUCCAGGCCAGCCUGGUCUACACAGAGAAACCCUGUGGGGGGUGGGGAUUGAACCCUGGGCCUCAUGCACAUGAGACAAGCACUCCACACUGAGCUAAGCCUUAGCAACCUUAGGAUGACAGCAUGACCGCAACCACUAUAUUCCCACUUACUCAGCAAGUGGUGCCACCUACAAGUUCCAGGACAGCCAGGGCUACACAGAGAAACUGUCUCAACAAAACAAAACAAAAACAUGAAUAUCCUGUUAGACAAUUUCCAACACAAGCCUGUGGCCCUAGCAUUAGAGAGGUGGAGGCACCUCUCAGCUAUUAAGGCCACCCUCAGCUAUUAAGCAAGUUUGAGGCCAGCCUGGCUAUGUGAUACCUGUCAAAAGUGGGGGUGAAGGUUAGAGUGGGAGUGUGACCUCCACACACCUCCCCCAUAAUGAAAAGUAAACUUUGUUUAGAAAGAAGUCUCCAUUGUUGCCAGGAGCUGAGGGUGAAGUGAACAGAGCCACUGCCUAAUGAGUCGAGUCCAGAGCAGUAGUUCUUAACCUAUGGGUUAUGACCCCUCAACAAACCUCUAUCUCCAGAAAUACCUAGACUACAAUUCAUAACAGUAGCAAAAUUACAGUUAUGAAGUAGCAAUGAAAAUAAUUUUAUGGUUGGGGGUCACCACAACAUGAGGAACUGUAUUAAAGGGUCACAGCAUUAAGAAGGGUGAGAACCACUGGUUUAGAGGAUGAAAGUUCUAGAAAUUGGAGGGAGUGCUUGAACACAAAUGGGACUAUGCUUUUGUUUCUGAGACAGCACCUCACAUAGCCCAGGUUAGCCUGGAACUUGCUAUAUAGUGAGGCUGACACUGAAGUCUUGAUCCUCUGCCUUCAGUUAGUAAGAGCUGGGAUUACAGGUGUGCCCACGGUGCCUUUUAUGCAAGAGACUUGAACCACCAUCGAUCUUGAUGCCUCAGAGGGUGGUCCAGAAACAGGAUAGUACCCUUGAGUGCCCAGGGGUCCCAUAGGUCUGUCUCCCCUUCCUCCCCUGUCACCUCCCUUCUGCUGGUGACCUGCUGCUGAAUUCUGGUGAAAGAAUUCCCCAGACUGACUGUCUCCGUGCUCCUGAAAACAUGGAUGAAAAGAAGCAGUCCUGGGGAGGGGCAGAGAUGGCUCCAGCUAAGAGCACUGGCUGCUUUUCCAGAGACCCCAGGCUCAGUUCCAGCUACAUGUAGGAGGCACAGAAGUCCUCGUGCUCACAGAUGAGCACAAGGGGAACCUGGACUGUUACACACACACACACACACACACACACACACACACAC